GACUCCGUGGCGCAACGGUAGCGCGUCCGACUCCAGAUCGGAAGGUGAGUGUUCAAACAUGUCGGCGUCA
rnacentral:tRNA from 1 species